rnacentral:rRNA from 1 species
UCCUACGGGGGGCAGCAGUGAGGAAUAUUGGUCAAUGGGCUAAGGCCUGAACCAGCCAAGUCGCGUGAGGGAAGACGGUCCUAUGGAUUGUAAACCUCUUUUGUCGGGGAGCAACGAGGCCACGUGUGGCCGAAGUGAGAGUACCCGAAGAAAAAGCAUCGGCUAACUCCGUGCCAGCAGCCGCGGUAAUACGGAGGAUGCGAGCGUUAUCCGGAUUUAUUGGGUUUAAAGGGUGCGUAGGCGGAAGGUUAAGUCAGCGGUCAAAUGUCGGUGCUCAACACCGGCCUGCCGUUGAAACUGGUCUU